rnacentral:rRNA from 1 species
CCUACGGGAGACAGCAGUAGGGAAUAUUGCACAAUGGGGGAAACCCUGAUGCAGCGACGCCGCGUGAGUGAAGAAGUAAUUCGUUAUGUAAAGCUCUAUCAGCAGGGAAGACAAUGACGGUACCUGAAUAAUUAGCCCCGGCUAACUACGUGCCAGCAGCCGGGGUAAUACGUAGGGAGCAAGCGUUAUCCGGUUUUACCGGGGUUAAAGGGAGCGUAGAGGGCUGUGCAAGUCUGGAGUGAAAGGCGGGGGCUCAACCCCCGGACUGCUCUGGAAACUGGAAGGCUGGAGUGCAGUAGAGGUAAGUGGAAUUCCUAGUGUAGCGGUGAAAUGCGUAGAUAUUAGGAAGAACACCAGUGGCGAAGGCAGCUUACUGGACUGUAACUGACGUUGAGGCUCGAAAGCGUGGGGAGCAAACAGGAUUAGAUACCCCAGUAGUC